UGAUAUGUUGCAUCUAGUCAGUACAAGAGAAAUCGCAGGUUCAGACACUUGGUGUAUGUGCAUGGCUGAGGUGCCACUGGAGUGAGGCUACCAUCUGUAGGAUUAUGACUGAACACCUCUAAGUCAGAAUCCCCCCUAAACAUAGCUAUAUCACAGUUCCAGGGUGACUCAGAGGGUUCAUGAUAACUGGCCACUCUGGCAGCUGGUGUGGAGUGCCGCUCGUGGUUGGGACCUGAGUGCAGAUGAAUGUGAUGCUGCCUUUUCCCUGUCACAUACUGCAUGUUCGUGGGGAACCCAGUGCUAAAUCAUUCAUAGAUGACCUGUUUCUGGCUCAGGGUUUUGUACGUAGUAGAGCAGCUCCCUUCUGUGAUCUAUUGAGAGUCAGCCCUCGACACAAGCUUU
rnacentral:ncRNA from 1 species